rnacentral:lncRNA from 1 species
ACUCUUGAUGUAUAGGAUAUCCAAAUAUCCGCCAUGCCGCCUCUGUAGGCCCAAUGUACCUUGAGUCAAUAUACUGCUUAAUCUCAUCUACGGCCCCCAAUACCAAAGUUGUGCGAUCGUAACCCUUGUAAAUGUAUUUAUUGAUAUACUUUACGCACCUUACUCCUGCACAAACUUCCACAUUUAUAUGGCAACUAAACAAUCUAGAGAGGUGUGGAUUAUAUGGUACAACAUCUCUAUUAUCAACUUCAUGUCCAGACCUUAGACAAUGUUUUCG